CAGCAACCUAGCUAGCUAGCUUUCACACCAGUGAGCUCCACACUCACUGACUCACUCUUCUUCUGCUGCGGCUGCUUGCUCGAGGCAGUCGAGGGGGUGAGAGCGAGGCAUGGCUGUGGCCAGGUCCGACGAUCAGUACGGUCGCUUUGUGUGGGCGCUGCCCAUGGAGGGCAACCUCGGGGGAUGCGGCAGCACCGGCGACGGCGACGACGACGAUGACGACUACGACGUGGCUCCGGCUGCUUAAAACUGACGGAUCUGCAGGAUGAUGCACGCGCACGGUCAUGAUCUAUGCGCUGAGAUAGAUCGUAUAUGGCGAUGAGUACGUUUAAUUUUGCUGAGGUUUCGAGGUGCUGUAUAUUUCAUGGCUCCGACGAGAUAAUAAUUUUAUUACUCCCGUAAUAGCUUGCUUAGCUAGCUCUAGUCUUUAUUACUUGUUAUUACCAAUAAAGAAUUGAAGCAUCCAUGUAUAGUAGUAUGUGGAUCGGAGCAGCUAAUUAAUGUGGAGGUUCUACAGAUAAAUAUUAGUCGAAAAUCAGGAUAGUUGGCUGUCCAGGGGCUCAUGCUUGAUAUGAUGGAUGUGCUGGAGCGAGCAUCAUCGAUCUUAAUUUGUUGGUGCUCAUUAAUUCUCUUUUUUUUUAAAAAAAAGGAGAGUUCAUGACUAAUCUUAAUUGAAUGAUUGUUUGCUUUUUC
rnacentral:lncRNA from 1 species